rnacentral:rRNA from 1 species
UACGAAGGGGGCUAGCGUUGCUCGGAAUUACUGGGCGUAAAGGGCGCGUAGGCGGAUAGUUUAGUCAGAGGUGAAAGCCCAGGGCUCAACCUUGGAACUGCCUUUGAUACUGGCUAUCUUGAGUUCGGGAGAGGUGAGUGGAAUGCCGAGUGUAGAGGUGAAAUUCGUAGAUAUUCGGCGGAACACCAGUGGCGAAGGCGACUCACUGGCCCGAUACUGACGCUGAGGCGCGAAAGCGUGGGGAACAAACAGG